GUCUACGGCCACGCCACCCUGAACAAGCCCGAUCCCGUCUGAUCUCAGAAGCUAAGCAGGGUCAGGCCUGGUGAGUACUUGGAUGGAAGAUCAGGUGCUGUAAAAA
rnacentral:rRNA from 1 species